AGUGUUUUAUUAGAUACAGAACCAAUACACCAUCUGUUUAUCAGGUGGUGUAAAAAAAGGUGAUUCAUAGUAACCGAACGGAUCGCAUUAUGGUCAUUUUAUAUGGCUGGCGAUAGAUCAUUCAAGUUUCUGACCUAUCAGCUUUCGACGGUAGUGUAUUGGACUACCGUGGCAGUGACGGGUAACGGGGAAUUAGGGUUCGAUUCCGGAGAGGGAGCCUGAGAAACGGCUACCACAUCUAAGGAAGGCAGCAGGCGCGCAAAUUACCCAAUCCUGACUCAGGGAGGUAGUGACAAGAAAUAACAACACUGGAAAUUUUAUUUCUAGUGAUUGGAAUGAUGGGAAUUUAAACCCCUUUCAGAGUAACAAUUGGAGGGCAAGUCUGGUGCCAGCAGCCGCGGUAAUUCCAGCUCCAAUAGCGUAUAUUAAAGUUGUUGCAGUUAAAAAGCUCGUAGUUGGAUGUCUGCUGGAAGCAAUCAGUCCGCCCUAUUUGUAGGGUGUGCACUUGAUGAAUUCUGGCAUCUAUGUCCCAAUAAUGUGGUGGUGUAUACCCUGUGUAUUACCCAUCUAUAUUGGGAUAAUACCGUUACUUUGAGAAAAUUAGAGUGUUUGAAGCAGGCUAAUUGCCUUGAAUACUGCAGCAUGGAAUAACAAUAUAGGAUUUCGGUUCUAUUUUGUUGGUUUCUAGGACUGAAAUAAUGAUUAAUAGGGACAGUUGGGGGCAUU
rnacentral:rRNA from 1 species